rnacentral:rRNA from 1 species
GACGAACGCUGGCGGCGUGCUUAACACAUGCAAGUCGAACGGAAAGGCCCUGCUUUUGUGGGGUGCUCGAGUGGCGAACGGGUGAGUAACACGUGAGUAACCUGCCCUUGACUUUGGGAUAACUUCAGGAAACUGGGGCUAAUACCGGAUAUGAGCUCCUGCUGCAUGGUGGGGGUUGGAAAGUUUCGGCGGUUGGGGAUGGACUCGCGGCUUAUCAGCUUGUUGGUGGGGUAGUGGCUUACCAAGGCUUUGACGGGUAGCCGGCCUGAGAGGGUGACCGGCCACAUUGGGACUGAGAUACGGCCCAGACUCCUACGGGAGGCAGCAGUGGGGAAUAUUGCAAAAUGGGCGGAAGCCUGAUGCAGCAACGCCGCGUGCGGGAUGACGGCCUUCGGGUUGUAAACCGCUUUCGCCUGUGACGAAGCGUGAGUGACGGUAAUGGGUAAAGAAGCACCGGCUAACUACGUG